rnacentral:rRNA from 1 species
AUUGAACGCUGGCGGCAGGCCUAACACAUGCAAGUCGAGCGGAUGAAGGGAGCUUGCUCCUGGAUUCAGCGGUGGACGGGUGAGUAAUGCCUAGGAAUCUGCCUGGUAGUGGGGGAUAACGUCCGGAAACGGGCGCUAAUACCGCAUACGUCCUGAGGGAGAAAGUGGGGGAUCUUCGGACCUCACGCUAUCAGAUGAGCCUAGGUCGGAUUAGCUAGUUGGUGGGGUAAAGGCCUACCAAGGCGACGAUCCGUAACUGGUCUGAGAGGAUGAUCAGUCACACUGGAACUGAGACACGGUCCAGACUCCUACGGGAGGCAGCAGUGGGGAAUAUUGGACAAAGGGCGAAAGCCUGAUCCAGCCAUGCCGCGUGUGUGAAGAAGGUCUUCGGAUUGUAAAGCACUUUAAGUUGGGAGGAAGGGCAGUAAGUUAAUACCUUGCUGUUUUGACGUUACCAACAGAAUAAGCACCGGCUAACUUCGUG